rnacentral:rRNA from 1 species
GACGAACGUUGGCGGCGUGCUUAACACAUGCAAGUCGAACGGAAAGGCCCUGCUUUUGUGGGGUGCUCGAGUGGCGAACGGGUGAGUAACACGUGAGUAACCUGCCCUUGACUUUGGGAUAACUUCAGGAAACUGGGGCUAAUACCGGAUAGGAGCUCCUGCUGCAUGGUGGGGGUUGGAAAGUUUCGGCGGUUGGGGAUGGACUCGCGGCUUAUCAGCUUGUUGGUGGGGUAGUGGCUUACCAAGGCUUUGACGGGUAGCCGGCCUGAGAGGGUGACCGGCCACAUUGGGACUGAGAUACGGCCCAGACUCCUACGGGAGGCAGCAGUGGGGAAUAUUGCACAAUGGGCGGAAGCCUGAUGCAGCAACGCCGCGUGCGGGAUGACGGCCUUCGGGUUGUAAACCGCUUUCGCCUGUGACGAAGCGUGAGUGACGGUAAUGGGUAAAGAAGCACCGGCUAACUACGUGCCAGCAGCCGCGGUGAUACGUAGGGUGCGAGCGUUGUCCGGAUUUAUUGGGCGUAAAGGGCUCGUAGGUGGUUGAUCGCGUCGGAAGUGUAAUUUUGGGGCUUAACCCUGAGCGUGCUUUCGAUACGGGUUGACUUGAGGAAGGUAGGGGAGAAUGGAAUUCCUGGUGGAGCGGUGGAAUGCGCAGAUAUCAGGAGGAACACCAGUGGCGAAGGCGGUUCUCUGGGCCUUUCCUGACGCUGAGGAGCGAAAGCGUGGGGAGCGAACAGGCUUAGAUACCCUGGUAGUCCACGCUGUAAACGGUGGGUACUAGAUGUGGGGUCCAUUCCACGGGUUCCGUGCCGUAGCUAACGCUUUAAGUACCCCGCCUGGGGAGUACGGCCGCAAGGCUAAAACUCAAAGGAAUUGACGGGGCCCCGCACAAGCGGCGGAGCAUGCGGAUUAAUUCGAUGCAACGCGUAGAACCUUACCUGGGUUUGACAUGGAUCGGGAGUGCUCAGAGAUGGGUGUGCCUCUUUUGGGGUCGGUUCACAGGUGGUGCAUGCCUGUCGUCAGCUCGUGUCGUGAGAUGUUGGGUUAAGUCCCGCAACGAGCGCAACCCUUGUUCACUGUUGCCAGCACGUUAUGGUGGGGACUCAGUGGAGACCGCCGGGGUCAACUCGGAGGAAGGUGGGGAUGACGUCAAGUCCUCAUGCCCCUUAUGUCCAGGGCUUCACGCAUGCUACAAUGGCUGGUACAGAGAGUGGCGAGCCUGUGAGGGUGAGCGAAUCUCGGAAAGCCGGUCUCAGUUCGGAUUGGGGUCUGCAACUCGACCUCAUGAAGUCGGAGUCGCUAGUAAUCGCAGAUCAGCAACGCUGCGGUGAAUACGUUCCCGGG